rnacentral:lncRNA from 1 species
UCUCAUUACAACUCGAACUCCUUCCACAUACUCUGGCUUCUCCCCCCUCCCUCUCUUUUGCCUUCUUUCAUUCGAAACCUCCACUAUUAACUUGAGGUGAUUUGACUUAGGCAUCAGAGUGUCCCACUAGAAAACCCCUGACUAGUGGACUUCCUCUACUUGUAAUGUUUCAGGAUAUUCUUGGAGAUCAGACCUAUUUGACCACUAUAAAUUACUUCAAGGUCUACAGCUAGCUAUCUAGGUCUGUACAUCACCACUCUCAACCCUUCAGCUUAUCAUCCAACUCAUUGGCCCAAGCCAAACCGAUCUUAGCAGCAACAUAUUCUGUGACUUUCUUUUGAUUCUUUAAGUUUGUGAGCUUAAACUCCAAACACCCAGA